rnacentral:rRNA from 1 species
CCUACGGGGGGCAGCAGUGGGGAAUAUUGGACAAUGGGGGGAACCCUGAUCCAGCCAUGCCGCGUGUGUGAAGAAGGCCUUAUGGUUGUAAAGCACUUUAAGCGAGGAGGAGGCUACUGAGACUAAUACUCUUGGAUAGUGGACGUUACUCGCAGAAUAAGCACCGGCUAACUCUGUGCCAGCAGCCGCGGUAAUACAGAGGGUGCAAGCGUUAAUCGGAUUUACUGGGCGUAAAGCGUGCGUAGGCGGCUAAUUAAGUCAAAUGUGAAAUCCCCGAGCUUAACUUGGGAAUUGCAUUCGAUACUGGUUAGCUAGAGUAUGGGAGAGGAUGGUAGAAUUCCAGGUGUAGCGGUGAAAUGCGUAGAGAUCUGGAGGAAUACCGAUGGCGAAGGCAGCCAUCUGGCCUAAUACUGACGCUGAGGUACGAAAGCAUGGGGAGCAAACAGGAUUAGAUACCCUUGUAGUCCU